rnacentral:rRNA from 1 species
UGCCCUAGAUAAGGGUAAACAGCCGCUGUAUUUUGACGGUGCUAAGGUAGCGAAAUUCCUAGCCUUUUAAUUGGAGGCCUGCAUGAAUGGUUUGACGAGCGCCCGACUGUCUCUUUUCCGUGUGUAUUGAAAUUAGCUUCUGUGUGAAAAGACACAGAUGGUUGAGUAAGACGAAAAGACCCUGUGCAACUUUACUAGGUGGGUAGGUUGGCUAUCAUAAGGUUUAGCUGGGGCAGCUAGGGAAAAACCAAAACUUCCCUAUUGAUUAUAGACUAAUAGGUUUUGAUCCAAUAAGUAGAUUGAUCAGUAGAAAAGUUACGCCAGGGAUAACAGCGUUAUCCUUCUGUGGAGGUCUUAUUUGCAGGGGGGAUUGCGACCUCG